AUGAUCUCAUGUAAUAACUAACCUGACAGAUCUUCAUAAUUGAUCACUAUUCCUCACAGAUGAAGGGCACAGGAUGCAAACAGAAUGAAGCAGUACACCGUGCUGGGGUACCAGAUGACACCACGUGAAGAAAUCCACACAGGAAGGAUCAUCUGAAGGACAGAAAUCCAAGCAAGAUGAUCAGAGUGCAACACUAACAUUACAGAGGUAUGGCCGAAAACUUUACUCUUGGGACCUAAUCCAAGGACCAUUGGAAUGAACACAAAGAGUCCCACAAACUUCAAUGGAUGUGGAUC